rnacentral:rRNA from 1 species
CCUACGGGCGGCAGCAGUGGGGAAUAUUGCACAAUGGGGGAAACCCUGAUGCAGCAACGCCGCGUGAAGGAAGACGGUUUUCGGAUUGUAAACUUCUGUUCUUAGUGAAGAAUAAUGACGGUAGCUAAGGAGCAAGCCACGGCUAACUACGUGCCAGCAGCCGCGGUAAGACGUAGGUGGCAAGCGUUGUCCGGAAUUACUGGGUGUAAAGGGAGCGCAGGCGGGAAGCCAAGUCAGCUGUGAAAACUACGGGCUUAACUUGUAGACUGACGUUGAAACUGGUUUUCUUGAGUGAAGUAGAGGUUGGCGGAAUUCCGAGUGUAGCGGUGAAAUGCGUAGAUAUUCGGAGGAACACCGGUGGCGAAGGCGGCCAACUGGGCUUUAACUGACGCUGAGGCUCGAAAGUGUGGGGAGCAAACAGGAUUAGAUACACGUGUAGUC